rnacentral:rRNA from 1 species
GACGAACGCUGGCGGCGUGCUUAACACAUGCAAGUCGAACGGAAAGGCCCUGCUUUUGUGGGGUGCUCGAGCGGCGAACGGGUGAGUAACACGUGAGUAACCUGCCCUUGACUUUGGGAUAACUUCAGGAAACUGGGGCUAAUACCGGAUAGGAGCUCCUGCUGCAUGGUGGGGGUUGGAAAGUUUCGGCGGUUGGGGAUGGACUCGCGGCUUAUCAGCUUGUUGGUGGGGUAGUGGCUUACAAGGCUUUGACGGGUAGCCGGCCUGAGAGGGUGACCGGCCACAUUGGGACUGAGAUACGGCCCAGACUCCUACGGGAGGCAGCAGUGGGGAAUAUUGCACAAUGGGCGGAAGCCUGAUGCAGCAACGCCGCGUGCGGGAUGACGGCCUUCGGGUUGUAAACCGCUUUCGCCUGUGACGAAGCGUGAGUGACGGUAAUGGGUAAAGAAGCACCGGCUAACUACGUG